GGGGCGCGUGGCGCACCACGGAGCACGUGGGCGGUGCGCCCUUUGUUCCGCUGUGUGCCGGUGUUGUGGGUGUGACGUGUGCUGUGCUCUGUUGCAGGCUGGUGCUCGGCUGUCCGUCGCUGACGGCACUGGGGUGGAGGUGGUGGUCUGACCUAGACCGGACCAGGUCCCUGGUGGACAGCCUGGUGCGCCAGCUGCCCCCGGACCGUGACGUCACACUCGAGGUCGACGCCGGGCAUCUGCAGCGUCUGCCGCCGCUGCCGCCCGGCCCGCUCAGCCUGAGGGAAUAUAAGCCAUGGUGGACUUCAUGAACAACGAACGAGGUUGACGGCGGCGGCGGCGACUGCAGUGGUGCAUGUUGAAGUAUCGUUGCCGGGCCGCUGCAGUGGGGCAGCAAGCGGCAUCGAGUGCGGCGAGCAGCCGACCAAGCCGUGACGGCGGCCCCGGCUGCCCGCCGCUGUCGCCUGCCGGCCGCCGGCCUGAUUCGGCUGACAACAGUGAAGCAGUCAGGUCUGGCGAGAACUCACGCGCAUCAAGUGCCACUGGUGCCGGUCGGGCCAGGACAGGUUGGUUCGGAAUGCGGUGUCGCUGGUGGAAGCGGCCUCGCUCUCGGCCAAGCCAUGCACCUCGUGCCGUAUGCUAACCGACUUUGUGCAGCUGAAGGACGGCGACGUCGUGACACGGCACGGCGCCAACAGUGAGGUGGACCAGACUCCAGCCGUGUCGAGUGUGCAGUAGCCGGUCGGUAGACGUGGUGCGGGCGCGGGAUGACCUGGACGAGCUGCGCCAGUACCUGACGGGCCCGGGCGCCACCGGUUGGUCGGCAUCGGCGACUGGCGCCGGGCUGUCAGCCGCAUCAGACCCGGUGGCGGUCGCGUCGGCGCCGGGCGAAUCCUUAGCUUCGACGGCCGGCUGGUGGGACAGUCGCCGGCUCCGCGCCGAGAUGGCCGAACAGAGCAGACGAGAGCCGGCACAGACCGCGGUGCCGCCGUCAGCCGCAGGACACAGCUCGUCCGUUGGACGGCGGCCACAGCGCAGAGGCGCGCAACGCUCGGCGUGAUGGACCACGAUGAGGAAGAGCAGGACGCGCCCCAGGACCAGACGUGCUCCUCUGGGGAGGGGGAGAGGAGGGGCUCCUUCUCGAUGAUGAGCAGCCUGCGAAUCUCCUGUCGUUGGCAUUGGCUGGUGUUCGCUGACGGUAGUCAGGUGCUGCGGCAUCUCGGCCAGCCCCAGCUGCUGCAGCUGGGGCGUGGGCCCGUCCGGCACCGGGACCGGCAUGAGCGCGUCCAGCGUAGCAGGGGUGGAUCGGACGAGGGCGGCGCCUGGUGCACAGCCGGCCCCUGCGCAGCCGACACCGGAGGCGCAGCAGCAGCCGCCGGCAACGGAGCCGCGCCACCACUGCCACCACAGUCAGACCUUGGAACUGGUGUGUGUCCGUGUCCCACGGCGGAAGCA